AUUGAACGCUGGCGGCAGGCCUAACACAUGCAAGUCGAGCGGAUGAGGAAAGCUUGCUUUUCGAUUCAGCGGCGGACGGGUGAGUAAUGCCUAGGAAUCUGCCUGUUAGUGGGGGAUAACUCGGGGAAACUCGGGCUAAUACCGCAUACGUCCUACGGGAGAAAGUGGGGGAUCUUCGGACCUCACGCUAACAGAUGAGCCUAGGUCGGAUUAGCUAGUAGGUGAGGUAAUGGCUCACCUAGGCGACGAUCCGUAACUGGUCUGAGAGGAUGAUCAGUCACACUGGAACUGAGACACGGUCCAGACUCCUACGGGAGGCAGCAGUGGGGAAUAUUGGACAAUGGGCGAAAGCCUGAUCCAGCCAUGCCGCGUGUGUGAAGAAGGUCUUCGGAUUGUAAAGCACUUUAAGUUGGGAGGAAGGGUAUUCACCUAAUACGUGGGUACUUUGACGUUACCAGCAGAAUAAGCACCGGCUAACUCUGUGCCAGCCGCCGCGGUAAGAC
rnacentral:rRNA from 1 species